UGGAAGUUCUUCUAAAUAAAGAAUGUCUU
rnacentral:sRNA from 1 species